GACGAACGCUGGCGGCGUGCUUAACACAUGCAAGUCGAACGGAAAGGCCCUGCUUUUGUGGGGUGCUCGAGUGGCGAACGGGUGAGUAACACGUGAGUAACCUGCCCUUGACUUUGGGAUAACUUCAGGAAACUGGGGCUAAUACCGGAUAGGAGCUCCUGCUGCAUGGUGGGGGUUGGAAAGUUUCGGCGGUUGGGGAUGGACUCGCGGCUUAUCAGCUUGUUGGUGGGGUAGUGGCUUACCAAGGCUUUGACGGGUAGCCGGCCUGAGAGGGUGACCGGCCACAUUGGGACUGAGAUACGGCCCAGACUCCUACGGGAGGCAGCAGUGGGGAAUAUUGCACAAUGGGCGGAAGCCUGAUGCAGCAACGCCGCGUGCGGGAUGACGGCCUUCGGGUUGUAAACCGCUUUCGCCUGUGACGAAGCGUGAGUGACGGUAAUGGGUAAAGAAGCACCGGCUAACUACGUGCCAGCAGCCGCGGUGAUACGUAGGGUGCGAGCGUUGUCCGGAUUUAUUGGGCGUAAAGGGCUCGUAGGUGGUUGAUCGCGUCGGAAGUGUAAUCUUGGGGCUUAACCCUGAGCGUGCUUUCGAUACGGGUUGACUUGAGGAAGGUAGGGGAGAAUGGAAUUCCUGGUGGAGCGGUGGAAUGCGCAGAUAUCAGGAGGAACACCAGUGGCGAAGGCGGUUCUCUGGGCCUUUCCUGACGCUGAGGAGCGAAAGCGUGGGGAGCGAACAGGCUUAGAUACCCUGGUAGUCCACGCUGUAAACGGUGGGUACUAGGUGUGGGGUCCAUUCCACGGGUUCCGUGCCGUAGCUAACGCUUUAAGUACCCCGCCUGGGGAGUACGGCCGCAAGGCUAAUACUCAAAGGAAUUGACGGGGCCCCGCACAAGCGGCGGAGCAUGCGGAUUAAUUCGAUGCAACGCGUAGAACCUUACCUGGGUUUGACAUGGAUCGGGAGUGCUCAGAGAUGGGUGUGCCUCUUUUGGGGUCGGUUCACAGGUGGUGCAUGGCUGUCGUCAGCUCGUAUCGUGAGAUGUUGGGUUAAGUCCCGCAACGAGCGCAACCCUUGUUCACUGUUGCCAGCACGUUAUGGUGGGGACUCAGUGGAGACCGCCGGGGUCAACUCGGAGGAAGGUGGGGAUGACGUCAAGUCAUCAUGCCCCUUAUGUCCAGGGCUUCACGCAUGCUACAAUGGCUGGUACAGAGAGUGGCGAGCCUGUGAGGGUGAGCGAAUCUCGGAAAGCCGGUCUCAGUUCGGAUUGGGGUCUGCAACUCGACCUCAUGAAGUCGGAGUCGCUAGUAAUCGCAGAUCAGCAACGCUGCGGUGAAUACGUUCCCGGG
rnacentral:rRNA from 1 species